GUUCAUGGAGACAGAUUAAAAGGGAACCGGGUGUAAAUCCCGGACAGUCCACGCUGCUGUGAAGCUUUAUAAACAUCCUGAUAACACCUUUUGCCACUGAUCCGGGAGAGAUCGGGAAGGCUUUCAGGAUGGAAGUAAGUCAGAAGACCUGCCAUUUUUUGC
rnacentral:ncRNA from 1 species